AAACUUCAACAAUGGAUCUCUUGGUCCGGCAUCGAUGAAGAACGCAGCGAAUGCGAUAAGUAUGUGAUUGCAGAUUCCGUGAAUCAUCGAAUCUUUGAACCACAUUGCGCCCCUGCAUUCCGGGGGCAUGCCUGUCGAGCGUCAUUU
rnacentral:rRNA from 1 species